rnacentral:rRNA from 1 species
GGCUGGCGCAGCUACCAUGCAGUCGAGCGGUAACAGAUCCAGCUUGCUGGAUGCUGACGAGCGGCGGACGGGUGAGUAAUGCAUAGGAAUCUGCCCGAUAGUGGGGGAUAACCUGGGGAAACCCAGGCUAAUACCGCAUACGUCCUACGGGAGAAAGGGGGCUUCGGCUCCCGCUAUCGGAUGAGCCUAUGUCGGAUUAGCUAGUUGGUGAGGUAACGGCUCACCAAGGCCACGAUCCGUAGCUGGUCUGAGAGGAUGAUCAGCCACAUCGGGACUGAGACACGGCCCGAACUCCUACGGGAGGCAGCAGUGGGGAAUAUUGGACAAUGGGGGGAACCCUGAUCCAGCCAUGCCGCGUGUGUGAAGAAGGCCCUCGGGUUGUAAAGCACUUUCAGCGAGGAAGAACGCCUAGCGGUUAAUACCCGCUAGGAAAGACAUCACUCGCAGAAGAAGCACCGGCUAACUCCGUGCCAGCAGCCGCGGUAAUACGGAGGGUGCAAGCGUUAAUCGGAAUUACUGGGCGUAAAGCGCGCGUAGGUGGCUUGAUAAGCCGGUUGUGAAAGCCCCGGGCUCAACCUGGGAACGGCAUCCGGAACUGUCAAGCUAGAGUGCAGGAGAGGAAGGUAGAAUUCCCGGUGUAGCGGUGAAAUGCGUAGAGAUCGGGAGGAAUACCAGUGGCGAAGGCGGCCUUCUGGACUGACACUGACACUGAGGUGCGAAAGCGUGGGUAGCAAACAGGAUUAGAUUCCUGGGGGUAGUCAA